rnacentral:misc_RNA from 1 species
UGGUGUUGCUCUUCACUGUGCCUCUGGCGGGAGCAAUUCAUGUGGUGCACCUGAGGUGAUAAUUCUAUCAAACCAGGCUAAUUGAUUUCUGUUUAAUUCUUUUUGCAGUAGAAAUCAGGUGUUCUUUGGACAACUGGCACCAAUAGAUUUUCUAGACUUUUCAUUAAGCAGAGUUUGUCAUGUCUUGGGAUGCCAGCAUAGCACUUGAACAUUUCAUUAAGUGGUGGUGAUAGCCUCUGCCGGUUUUCGUCAACAAAUUUGUCAUUUUGGCAAUCUAAUCUCAAGAGUGUAGGGAUUUUUUUUUU